rnacentral:siRNA from 1 species
GGGAUGUAGCUCAGAUGGU